rnacentral:rRNA from 1 species
UACGAAGGGGGCUAGCGUUGCUCGGAAUCACUGGGCGUAAAGCGCACGUAGGCGGACUCUUAAGUCGGUGGUGAAAUCCUGGAGCUCAACCCCAGAACUGCCUUCGAUACUGGGAGUCUCGAGUUCGGGAGAGGUGAGUGGAACUGCGAGUGUAGAGGUGAAAUUCGUAGAUAUUCGCAAGAACACCAGUGGCGAAGGCGGCUCACUGGCCCGAUACUGACGCUGAGGUGCGAAAGCGUGGGGAGCAAACAGG